rnacentral:lncRNA from 1 species
GGGGAAAUCAAAAUGUAUGCAACAAAACCACUUUCCAUAUUCAAAGCUUUUCCCGAAACUGCAUUUCAGCCACCUCUGGAAGGUCCCAGUUCCGGGUACCUGGUGCGCAAAGACGAAGGAUCCGACGGCGGUGGCUCUGCUUGUUGCUGGGGACUUUGUGAGGGAACGAGGGUGAGGGAUCUGCCUUUCCCUCAGAAUAGGAUCCUCACUGUCCAAUACGACGAGGAACAUGCGCGGGAGAACACAACUUAUAGCGCGGUCGUGUUCUUCAUCCCUGUACUUGACAAGCCCUUGUCUUCGAAUCACUACUACGUCGUCAGCGGAAAAGGGAAGGAUAAAGGGUACGUAAAUUUAUGUACCGAUUUUACUUUCAAAUUUAACAAUUUAGUCCUAAACUUCAGUUAGACGUUUAAUUUCGGAGUUUUAACUAUUUUGCAUGAUUAUUAAGUCUUUGCGAUAGUGUGACAAAUCCUAGAAAAAUGUCAUGCUAGUGAAUAUUAAUCGAAUUGAGGUUAAAUUUAAAUAAUUGAAUUUGUAACUGAAUCCAUGUAUGUAUUAAUUAUCGGAUGUUUCAUUUGUGUUUGUGAUGUUGUUCUCCCAGGAAAAUUUAUACGUGCUCUAAAGAGGAGGACAUGAGCACAUGCUGCUUUUGCCGAUGCAUAAAUGACGUGAAGCCGAGUCCCUUUGAUCACAGAAACAUCUACCAACAAAUGGAGAUCGUGCCGAAGAAGGGGGAGUUCACCGCAAAGUCCACAGCUCCCGAUGGUUUUGCGCCACGGCUGUUCAGGAGGAAGUAUUGGCGAGUUUACGCGAUGCAACCGGAGAACUACCGCUUAAGCGACGCGCUCGGGCUCAACAUAGCCCUCAGGUUGCGUCCGCUCAAUCUCGACUUCCCGAUCAUGGUAGAAGACACCCCGAAGUCAACCAUCGGGAAGUGGUAUUGCCCCUUCUUCUUCGUCAAGGAAAAUCGGAGCUUCAAGGAGCAAAUGAGCAAUGCCAUGUUCUACGAGAUUUCUCUGGAGCAAAUUUGGGAGCAAAUAUAUGCCAAGGGGAAUUUCUACGGCGACUGCGCAAAUGUUGUCGAGGUGAAUACUAGCGUGCAGAGCAAAAGAGUUACUGUAAAUGGUGAAGCUGCAGUUGAAGUAGCAGAUGUUGAUGGUUUCGUGUGGUUUGCAAAUGAUGUUUCCAGGAGAGAGAGUUUUGGGCUUAGUUUAGCUGUGUGGAAUAGGAUGAGAUUGGAGCAGAGUAGGGAAGGGUGGGUUGAUGCUGGUGAAGAGAGGGUGGAGAGGGUGGAGGAAUUUGGAGGGGGAUUAAAUGGGUGGAAGAGGUUUGGGUGCUAUGUGUUUGUGGAGAGGUAUGUGUUCAAGAGAAUGGAUGGGAGCUUCGCUUUCACCUUUGAUUUUGUGCACAACAGGAAAGUUAGGACCAAAUGGGAGUGAGGAUCAUUCUAAAUCUACUUUGUAUAUAUUUGAUACCAUUAAGUCUGUUUUCAGGGCUCUGAUGUUAUAUAUUUGUGUGUUUUAUGAUGAAACCAUAGUGGUUAUAGUAAAGUUGGUCUUUCUUGUACCAAUUAUUUCUACUUGUAUAAUGAAUUUUUGAUAGAUUAGCACUAGUGCUCUGUUAAUUUAGUGGCUAAUUCGGUAUUUAAUAGUACGCAACUUAAUUGGGGAGAAAAUGCCAAUAUAUACAUUGAGUUGGAGUUUUGAAUAGACCGAGUGGGCCUUGUGUGUCUCCUCUUUUAGUUUUAAGAUGGUUAGCAAAGUGCAAAAAAUCAAGUUGGAUCUCAAAGCGCACUCAGAUACCAAUUAAAUGACCCUAGCUAGCUAGAUUACCUUCUUUUUCAUUUUCUAUUUCUUUUUUCCGUUACAAAUUGUAUUGAAAUGGGGUGAAAAGUGCUUACCUUGAGUUUGGAAGUUUAGCCUUUGCAUUUGGGGUCAUGCCCAAUCUGGACUUCGAAUUUAAUGUUUUUUUGACAGACAGCUAAUUAAUAAAUUUUUGGAACGAUAAAUGGUGUGCGAAGCGCUAUAGUCGAGCUUUCAUGAUAUUUAUACUAAUGUGCCUCAAAAGUCACUGAGAACCCGCAAGUGCCUACCCGAGGUGGAGAAAGAUUCUGUAAGAGGUGACAGCAACAAAUAUAGAACUCAAUGUAAUACGUAAUCUUAAAAAAAAAAAAUUCUAACAUCAAUGUGGAGAGUAGACAUGACAAAAUUUGGUGGCGAUAGAAUUCAAAGAGGUAAUUUAUAGUCAAUUCUAUAUCCACCAUGACGAAAAGCUAUAGAGAUUUAGAGUAUCAUUGGAAGUACGAACUUUUUUUUGGGUUGUACUUAAGAAAAGAUUCCCUACCGCGGACAAUCUAUCCAAUAAAGGUUGGAUGGAGAACUAUUUUGGUGUGCUUUGUGGAUUUUCUUUUAAGACGGUUGAUCACAUCUUCACAUAUUGUAUUUUCAAUAGAUAUUUUAUGGUGAUAGUUGGCGAAGGGGAUAUGAAAUGGACCCUCGACGAAGAUGUUGGUAAAGUUUGGAAAAGGGCGACUUCUGGAGAUUGUAAUAGGGAAAUGGCAAUGAGAAUAUAUUUGCUUGUAGCUUGCUAGUGAGUUAUAUGGACAUAAAAAAAAAACUAUAUAAUUUUCAGAAGGAUCAACAAUGAGUCGUUGGCAGUGGUCAAUAGGGUCAAAUCGCUGGCAAAGUAAUGGAAGAAAUUUGCGUGGACAGUCUUAGCUUGAUUGGUUACAUUCUAACAGGGUUUUGUUGAGAGUGCCCACUGUGUUCUUUUUUUUUGUCUAUUCUUGUUGGGACAUUUUAUUUUUCAUGAUCAUUGCCUCACUUCUACAGCUCAAUUUAUAUUUGCUAUGAAUAAAGCAGAUAGCAAAUCUACUUUUCUCUCAAAUAUAUAUAUAUAUAUAUAUAUAUAGAGAGAGAGAGAGAGAGAGAGAGAGAGAGAGAGAGAGAGAGAGAGUUGAGCUAUAAAACUCUCAAAAGCACCAAUGGAUGGAAAGAUAUAGAGUUGAGAUAAUGGUAGUAGGUGGGGGUUGGUGGUGGUAGAUAAUGAUAGGUGGAAUAGUGUUAGAUUCAAUGACUAUUUGUAAUCAAAGAGUAAAUUUAAAGGCUAGAAACUUAGAAGCACCGAGAGAUUGUAUUCUCAUAAAAGUAUAUCUGACUCAAUUAUAUAUAAUAUAUAUAUAUAUAUAGAUAUAAUAUAUAUAUAUAGUUGAGUUAGAAUACUCUCAAAAGCACAAAAAGGUUGAUGCUUUUAAGUUUUAAGCCAUUGGGUAGAGAGAUUGUAGGAUUGGAUGAUGGUGGUAGGCAGUGAUAGGCUGGAAUAGUAUUUAAUCAAAAGUUAUUAUGAUCAAGGAGUAGAUCCAAAAGGUAGAAUCAAAAGCACCAAGGGGAUGGUUCUUUAAGAGUAUUCUAGCUCAUUAUAACAUUAUAUUAUAUAUAUAUAUAUAUAUAAUAUAUAUAUAUAUAUAUAUAUAUAUAUAUAUAUAUAUAUAUAUAUAUAUAAUUGAUCUAAAAUACUUUUAGAAGUAUUACCCACUCGGUGCUUUUAAAUUUCUAGCACUUGGAUCUACUCCUUGAUUACCAAUAACUAUUUGAUCAAAUAUUAUUCCAUCUAUCACUACCUACCACCAUCAUCUCAAUCUUCUAUUUCUCCAUCCAAGAGUUAAAAACUCAAAAACACCAAUCUUUUGGUGUUUUUGAGAGUAUCCUAGCUCAACUAUAUAUAUAUGUAUAUACACACAGUACGGAGGCCUCCGUGCUUGUAAGUUGUUUUCGAAGAUAAAACAUCCAAUUCAACGAUCGGCUCCGUUAGGCAUAAUCUAUGCUAUUGGAACUAUCUAAAAAUUAAAUUUUAUAAUUUUUCGACUUCAUUUACCAAGCGAUCACAAGUAGAGAUGUCAACGGGUCGGAUUCGGGGCGGAUUUUUAAAAACCCGAACCCGAACCCCACUCCAAAACUGAGACCCGAACGCAACGGAUUUUAAAAAUCCCUAUCCAAAUCCGAACCCGACCAAAAAUCCGAAACCCGAACCCAAAUCCGAACCCGAAAAUUUGAAUCUGAAACAUUUUUUUUUUUUCAAUAUUUCAAAAUAUAUUAUAUUAAAUCUAAAUUUUUAAAAUACAAAUUCAAAUAUAACAUCAAUUUUUUAUAUAUAUUAUAUAUAAUACAAAAUAAAUUCAGUUUCGGGUCGAGUUCGAGUUCGGGUCGGGUACAAUCAAAAUCCAUAUCCGAAUCCAUAUCCGUCGGAUUUUUAUUUUUUAUAUCCAUAUUCUAAUCCAUAUCCAUAUCCAUCGGAUAUAUCCGUUUCAUUUGAGUUCGGAUUCGGAUAAAAUUUCGAGUAUCCAUUUCCAUUGACAUCCCUAAUCACAGGGUCUCAAAAAUGACUAUUUUAACGGCCGAUGUGGCACAUUUUUAAAUUCAACAGUGUAUAAGUAUCCAAAUUAAGUGAAAUUUUAAUAGAAAAUUCUACUUAACAUUAAGAGUAAGAACAAUACUUCCGAUUUGAAAUUUGAAUUAUUUAUCGUUGUUUUUUAUGAGAUUUUUAUUUUCAACCGUUCAUUUUGAGGCCACUCAUUCACUAGGCAAACGAAGUUAAAAAAUUCUGAAAUUUGAUUUCUAGAUAGUUCUAAUAGCGUAGAUCAUGUGUAACGAAACCGAUUGCCGAAUUAAACGUCCCAUCAUCGAAAACAAUUUAUAAUUACGGAGACCUCCCUACUUUCGAAAUUAUAGGAGCUCUCUCUCUUUCUCUCUCUCUCUCUCUCUCUAUAUAUAUAUAUAUAUGUAUAUAAUAUUUUAGAGAAAGGUAGCUGUUUUAUUUAUGCUAUUUUAGAUUUAUUUUUAGAAAUAAAUCUAAAAAUAAAUAACUUACAAUCGGAUAACUAUACAUUAUUAGGAAAUAAUGUAUAGUUAAAAAAUUAUGAAAUUUGGUUUCUAGAUAGUUCUAAUAGCGUAGAUCAUGUCUAAUAAAACCGAUUGCCGAAUUGGACGUCCCAUCAUCGAAAAUAACUUACAAUUACGAAGGCCUCUGUACUUUCAAAAUUAUAGAAACCUAGCUCUAUAUAUAUAGGCUGGAAUACUAUUAAUAGUAAAAUGCUCUUUUUGCUAUCAAGUUUUUAAUCCUUGGAUUAAAAAUUGUAGGAUCAGAAUGAUAUUAGUCUGUUAGAGUUGAGUGGUCCCCCUAGGGUUGAGUGGUUCCCAUUAGAUUAUAGUAUUUAAUUCAAUUGUUAGAAAUAAUUAAAAAAGUUGAUCCAAAGGUUAAAAAACUGGUAGCAACAAUAANUUAGAGAAAGAUAGCUGUUAUAUUUAUGCUAUUUUAGAUUUAUUUUUAGAAAUAAAUUUAAUGAGUUGAAACUUGAAACGAACAGCAAACUAAAUGCUGCAUCAAAACAAAGCACACGAUCUCUGCUCAAAUUUGCAAAAAGUACGAGAAAAGACGGGAUGAGAAAACUCGAUAUGGGGGAAACGGAAAAAACAAAACCUUUGGGUCGGUGAGGAGAAUAGUCAUCUUCGAGAUCGUCGGGUACCAUUGUGCUACACGUUCGACCUUUUCCUCCUAGGGUUAGGGUUUCGCAGAGGAAGAGCGUUCGAAGCGGAGGGAACAAGGAAACAACGCGUGAGGAUGAGCGAGGGAACGAAAUAUGCUUGGGAUUCAAAUUCUUCGAAAUGUUUCGUUGUUUCGAGCUCGGAAUUCAAAAAGGCUUGGACCCAUGCCGACCCGGCCCAUUAAGCAUCGACCCAAUAUUUGUAGAGAUGGGCCACUUUAACGUAUAACAUUUUUCAACUAUGCUAAUUACUAUAGCACUUUGGAUUAUCUUAUCUUAUCUAAAUUUUCUUUUAAAUACAAAAUAGUCAUGAGAUAAUAUCCAUUAAUUUGACCAUUAUAAACAACAAUUAAGAAAAACUGAAACCACCAACUGCCCUUAGCACAAGUGGCAAAAACUUAGUAGUUGGUAUCUGAUGUCUCAAAUUCGAAUUCUAGUUAAUUCACAUUUCUAACAUGCUAUUAUCUCUCUCAAAAAAAAAAAAAAAAAAAAAANAAUUGAGGAACAGUAAUAGAGAUCAUAAUAUAGAGCCCCAGAUGAUCAAGUUCUUGCCUAGGUAUACUUAGUAAUCACACAAGCAAAUCAGAAGAAGGAGCUGCCCACAAAUCCAGUGUUUAAGCAGAUGAUCAAGGGAGGGAAUAUUGAAGGAUAUGCAAAGAGAGAUCUACACACACAUACACAGAGAAAGAGAGAACAAAAAAAAAAAAAAAAAAAAAAAAAGAAAGAAAGAAAAACUGAAACCGGGGCGUUAAUUUGACCCGAAUGAGUGGAAUAGUAAAGCUGAAACCGCCGGGUUAAUUUGACCCGAAUGAGUGGAAUAGUGGAAUAGAGUACUUAAUCUCGGUUGCAUUUAGAAAUGUCAAAUUUGUUUUGCUUGUAGGCAUUGUUUAUGAAAAAUCAACGGACAAACGUUUGGCUCAGAGUCAUCUUAUCCAAAUGAGAAAUCUCCGGGAAAUCACACAUACGCUUGCUCUCCUUUUGCGUAUAAAUAAUUAAAAGAUGUCAGCACAUCUACGUAAUCUAAGUAAAAUUAGAAAUUAGAGGGGAAAUCGAUAUGUAUACAACAAAACCACUUUCGGUACUCAAAGCUUCUCCCGGAACUGCGUCGCAGCCACCUCCGGAAGGCCCCAGUUCCGGGUACCUGGUGCGCGAAGACGAAGAAUCCGAUGGCGGUGACUCUGCCCGUUGCUGGGGACUUUGUGAGGGAACGAGGGUGAGGGAUCUCCCUUUCCCUCAGAAUAGGAUCCUCACUGUCCGAUACGACG